AUGAGUGCCACCCUUCUUCUCUGUUCUCUUCUUCCCGUUCUCUCUUUCUUCCUCCUUUUUCUCUCUCACACAUCUCGAUUUCUCUCCCUGUCUCAAACAGUGCACUCUGCCGCCAUGGACCUUGCAGCGCGCCGCCCUGAUGCCAAGUCCCUCCUCGUCGUUCCUGCACCGCCGAGCCGAAGCCUCGCCCAAGUCCAAGCGCCGCCGCCGUUUGCCUACUCGCCAUGGCCUCCCUUGCAUCGUCUGCUUCGCGGACAGAGCUCCGUCUCCGUUAACGUGUCCUCCCGCCGUCUCUGUUCGCUGUCGGGCUGGAUCGACUCUAGCAGCACCCCCACGGUGACGCUCCGCUCGGCACCCGAGGUUUAA
rnacentral:rRNA from 1 species